rnacentral:rRNA from 1 species
CCGACCUUGAAAUACCACCCUUUAAUGUUUGAUGUUCUAACGUGGACCCGUUACCCGGGUUGCGGACAGUGUCUGGUGGGUAGUUUGACUGGGGCGGUCUCCUCCUAAAGAGUAACGGAGGAGCACGAAGGUUGGCUAAUCCUGGUCGGACAUCAGGAGGUUAGUGCAAUGGCAUAAGCCAGCUUGACUGCGAGCGUGACGGCGCGAGCAGGUGCGAAAGCAGGUCAUAGUGAUCCGGUGGUUCUGAAUGGAAGGGCCAUCGCUCAACGGAUAAAAGGUACUCCGGGGAUAACAGGCUGAUACCGCCCAAGAGUUCAUAUCGACGGCGGUGUUUGGCACCUCGAUGUCGGCUCAUCACAUCCUGGGGCUGAAGUAGGUCCCAAGGGUAUGGCUGUUCGCCAUUUAAAGUGGUACGCGAGCUGGGUUUAGAACGUCGUGAGACAGUUCGGUCCCUAUCUGCCGUGGGCGCUGGAGAACUGAGGGGGGCUGCUCCUAGUACGAGAGGACCGGAGUGGACGCAUCACUGGUGUUCGGGUUGUCAUGCCAAUGGCACUGCCCGGUAGCUAAAUGCGGAAGAGAUAAGUGCUGAAAGCAUCUAAGCACGAAACUUGCCCCGA